CACACCCGUGCACGCUGCGCGAGAUGGAGCUUGGUCAGACGCAGCGACCGCGCGCGCCGGUGGAACCGUUUCAGGAGUAUGAGCCGCGCCGUAAGUGUACCGUGUGUUGCGGCCUCCGCUGCGCCGCCUUCGUCGGCACGACCACCUUCUGCGUCUCCCUCGUCUGCAAUGCCGUUGUGCUUGGUGGUCGAGUGACGGACGGACGCGGUUGGCGCGGCUUCUUGAAUCGCAACGGACUCAUCGCCCUGCCUGCCGCCGCCAUCACCUUCACGCAUCAGGUACUCCUCUCUGAGUCGUUGUGGAGCAAAAACAAAAAAACAGUGACGCAGGUGAACACGCUGUCCGCGCUGUCGAACAUGUCGCUCUGGGCCAUAGGCACGGUGCUGUGCACGACCACGGCGCGCCGUUACCUGCCAGCGCGCAGCAGAGCCUAUCGUCUUGCCCUCUGGGAGUACCACCGGGCGCGCCGCGGCUGCGCGAACCCGUGGAUGCCGACGAUCUUCGGCCGUGUAACGGAGGACCUCGACUGGUAUAACGUGAUGUGGACGCUGACGCUGUACCACCUGCUGUGGGGCAUGGUGUCGGUCAUGCUGGAGAAGGAGCUCGGCUCGCACUAUGCCAUGUUCUACCGAAACUGGCAGUACAGCCGAUGGUGCUCGCCGCGAUGGAGGGAGUGGCGUGAGUUGGAGGUGCGUCGCCACGUGGACACGGAGCAAGCCGUCGCGCCGAACCGGUGGGGCACGUUUAUCACGAAUGAUAAGUGGCGCACGCGCCACUUUUGAGGCCAUGCACUCCCUUCUUGCGGACGCCAUGCGUGAGGAAGGUAAUUGUGUGAUCAUAGGCAGCAAGGAAGACGGGGUGCGCGCACGGUGGCUGUCGAUGCAGAGCAAGGGGUCAACAAACCCCCUGAUGCCCUCCUUCUUGCCGUCUUGCCCCCGCCCGAGCGUCCUGUGCUCGCAGUUUUGCGAGCCGCAUGCGUUUACUCACCUAUCCCUUC
rnacentral:misc_RNA from 1 species